rnacentral:rRNA from 1 species
AGUAAUUCUAGAGCUAAUACAUGCAUAAAGCCCCGACUUCUGGGAGGGGUGUACUUAUUAGAUGGAAACCAAUGCGGGGAAACCCGGAUAAUGGUGAUUCAUAAUAAUUUUCGGAUCGAUCGUACGAUCGAUGCAUCAUUCAAGUUUCUGCCCUAUCAGCUUUGGAUGGUAGGGUAUUGGCCUACCAUGGCAUUAGCGGGUAACGGAGAAUUAGGGUUCGAUUCCGGAGAGGGAGCCUGAGAAACGGUUACCACAUCCAAGGAAGGCAGCAGGCGCGUAAAUUACCCAAUCCUGACGCAGGGAGGUAGUGACAAUAAAUAACAAUGUCGGGCUUUUUUAAGUCUGACAAUUGGAAUGAGAACAAUUUAAAUCCCUUAUCGAGGAUCAAUUGGAGGGCAAGUCUGGUGCCAGCAGCCGCGGUAAUUCCAGCUCCAAUAGCGUAUACUAAAGUUGUUGCAGUUAAAAAGCUCGUAGUUGAAUUUCUGGUCUCGAGACGCAGUCAGCCCCAAGGGGCGAUACUGUGGAUUGGGACCAUCCUCGAGGAGAACAUAUCUGUCAUUGAGUUGAUGGGUAUGGGACCCUCGUCAUUUACUGUGAGCAAAAUAGAGUGUUCAAAGCAGGCUUACGCCGUUGAAUACAUUAGCAUGGAAUAAUAAGAUAGGACCUUGGUCUAUUUUGUUGGUUAUACUCCGAGGUAAUGAUUAAUAGGGACAGUUGGGGGUAUUCGUAUUC